rnacentral:tRNA from 1 species
GCCUGGGUGGCUCAGUCGGUUGAGUGUCUGACUUCAGCUCAGGUCAUGACCUCACGGUUCAUGGCUUUGAGCCCCAUGUCAGGCU